rnacentral:rRNA from 1 species
GAAUUCGCCCUUAGAGUUUGAUCCUUGCUCAGGACGAGCGCUGGCGGCACGCCUAACACAUGCAAGUCGAGCGGAGAUUGAGAGCUUGCUCUCAUGAUCAGCGGCGGACGGGUGAGUAACACGUGAGCAACCUGCCUUUCAGAGGGGGACAACAGUUGGAAACGGCUGCUAAUACCGCAUAAGCCCACGGUGCCGCAUGGCACAGAGGGAAAAGGAGCAAUCCGCUUUGAGAUGGCCUCGCGUCUGAUUAGCUAGUUGGUGAGGUAAUGGCCCACCAAGGCGACGAUCGGUAGCCGGACUGAGAGGUUGAACGGCCACAUUGGGACUGAGACACGGCCCAGACUCCUACGGGAGGCAGCAGUGGGGAAUAUUGCACAAUGGGGGAAACCCUGAUGCAGCGACGCCGCGUGGAGGAAGAAGGUCUUCGGAUUGUAAACUCCUGUUGUUGGGGAAGAUAAUGACGGUACCCAACAAGGAAGUGACGGCUAACUACGUGCCAGCAGCCGCGGUAAAACGUAGGUCACAAGCGUUGUCCGGAAUUACUGGGUGUAAAGGGAGCGCAGGCGGGAAGACAAGUUGGAAGUGAAAUCUAUGGGCUCAACCCAUAAACUGCUUUCAAAACUGUUUUUCUUGAGUAGUGCAGAGGUAGGCGGAAUUCCCGGUGUAGCGGUGGAAUGCGUAGAUAUCGGGAGGAACACCAGUGGCGAAGGCGGCCUACUGGGCACCAACUGACGCUGAGGCUCGAAAGUGUGGGGUAGCAAACAGGAUUAGAUACCCUGGUAGUCCACACCGUAAACGAUGAUUACUAGGUGUUGGAGGAUUGACCCCUUCAGUGCCGCAGUUAACACAAUAAGUAAUCCACCUGGGGAGUACGACCGCAAGGUUGAAACUCAAAGGAAUUGACGGGGGCCCGCACAAGCAGUGGAGUAUGUGGUUUAAUUCGACGCAACGCGAAGAACCUUACCAAGUCUUGACAUCCCUUGACAGGCAUAG